GUGUCGAUGGUGCAACGCUUUAGCACAUGCUCCCGGAAAGAGUACAGUCCGGGUUCGAAUCCCAGCUGGCGCA